rnacentral:rRNA from 1 species
UGGGGAAUAUUGGACAAUGGGCGAAAGCCUGAUCCAGCCAUGCCGCGUGUGUGAAGAAGGUCUUCGGAUUGUAAAGCACUUUAAGUUGGGAGGAAGUGCAGUAAGCGAAUACCUUGCUGUUUUGACGUUACCGACAGAAUAAGCCCCGGCUAACUCUGUGCCAGCAGCCGCGGUAAUACAGAGGGUGCAAGCGUUAAUCGGAAUUACUGGGCGUAAAGCGCGCGUAGGUGGUUCGUUAAGUUGAAUGUGAAAGCCCCGGGCUCAACCUGGGAACUGCAUCCAAAACUGGCGAGCUAGAGUAGGGCAGAAGGUGGUGGAAUUUCCUGUGUAGCGGUGAAAUGCGUAGAUAUAGGAAGGAACACCAGUGGCGAAGGCGACCACCUGGGCUCAUACUGACACUGAGGUGCGAAAGCGUGGGGAGCAAACAGG